CGCCCGUCAAACUAUGAGAGCUGGUAAUACCUGAAACCGUUAGGCUAACCUCGUGAGGCUUGCGUCUAGGGUAGGACUGGUGAUUGGAGUUAAGUCGUAACAAGGUACCCCUACGGGAAUGUGGGGGUGGAUCACCUCCUUUCUAACGGAGUUAAUUUAAUUAAUUAACUAACAUUAGAUGUUAGUGUACAUUUUAUAAAAUCCAAUUUUCUUUAUUAACCUAAUAUUAAUAAAUAAAGAAUUUGGUCAGAUUCUAUUUAGUUUUGAGAGAUUUUUCUCUCAGGAUAGUUCUUUGAAAACUGAAUAUUACAACAAUCUUUUUAGUCUAAUUCAUAUUUAACAAGAAUUUUAGAGGAUACAAAAUAAGUUACUAAGGGCUUAUGGUGGAUGCCUUGGGACUGGAAGGCGAUGAAGGACGUGCAAACCUGCGAUAAGCUACGGGUAGCUGGUAAGAGGCGUUUAUCCGUAGAUGUCCGAAUGGGGGAACCCGAUAGAUAGUGAUAUCUAUCAUUAUUAGCUGAAUAAAUAGGUUAAUAAGGCGAUACCUGGUGAAGUGAAACAUCUCAGUAACCAGAGGAAAAGAAAACGAAGUGAUUCCGUAAGUAGCGGCGAGCGAAAGCGGAACAGGCCAAACCGGAUUAAUUUCCGGGGUUGUAGGACUGCAAUGUGGACUUAAAUAGGAUAGUAGAAGUGGCUGGGAAGCCACAUCAUAGAGGGUGACAAUCCCGUAUACGAAAUCUUAUUUAUACCUAGCAGUAUCCUGAGUACGGCGGGACACGUGGAAUCUUGUCGGAAUCUGCCCAGACCAUUGGGUAAGCCUAAAUACUAACCAGUCACCGAUAGCGUAUA
rnacentral:rRNA from 1 species